GAGGGUAUAGCUCAAGUGGUAGAGUACAUGCUUAGCAUGCACAAGGUCCUGGGUUCAAUCCCCAGUACCUCCU
rnacentral:tRNA from 1 species